rnacentral:rRNA from 1 species
UACGUAGGUGGCAAGCGUUGUUCGGAAUUACUGGGCGUAAAGGGCUCGUAGGUGGCCAACUAAGUCAUACGUGAAAUCCCUCGGCUUAACCGGGGAACUGCGUCUGAUACUGGAUGGCUUGAGGUUGGGAGAGGGAUGCGGAAUUCCAGGUGUAGCGGUGAAAUGCGUAGAUAUCUGGAGGAACACCGGUGGCGAAGGCGGCAUCCUGGACCAAUUCUGACACUGAGGAGCGAAAGCCAGGGGAGCAAACGGG